rnacentral:rRNA from 1 species
ACGAUCAUACCAGCACUAAUGCACCGGAUCCCAUCAGAACUCCGCAGU